ACUCCUACGGGAGGCAGCAGUGGGGAAUAUUGGACAAUGGGCGAAAGCCUGAUCCAGCCAUGCCGCGUGUGUGAAGAAGGUCUUCGGAUUGUAAAGCACUUUAAGUUGGGAGGAAGGGCAGUAAGUUAAUACCUUGCUGUUUUGACGUUACCAACAGAAUAAGCACCGGCUAACUUCGUGCCAGCAGCCGCGGUAAUACGAAGGGUGCAAGCGUUAAUCGGAAUUACUGGGCGUAAAGCGCGCGUAGGUGGUUCAGCAAGUUGGAUGUGAAAUCCCCCGGGCUCAACCUGGGAACUGCAUCCAAAACUACUGAGCUAGAGUACGGUAGAGGGUGGUGGAAUUUCCUGUGUAGCGGUGAAAUGCGUAGAUAUAGGAAGGAACACCAGUGGCGAAGGCGACCACCUGGACUGAUACUGACACUGAGGUGCGAAAGCGUGGGAGCAAACAGGAUUAGAUA
rnacentral:rRNA from 1 species